UGCGUAGGCGGGUUUCUAAGUCAGAGGUGAAAGCCUGGAGCUCAACUCCAGAACUGCCUUUGAUACUGGAAGUCUUGAGUAUGGCAGAGGUGAGUGGAACUGCGAGUGUAGAGGUGAAAUUCGUAGAUAUUCGCAAGAACACCAGUGGCGAAGGCGGCUCACUGGGCCAUUACUGACGCCGAGGCACGAAAGCGUGGGAGCAAACA
rnacentral:rRNA from 1 species